ensembl:lncRNA
AAAAAAAAACAAGCGCGUCCAUGCUCACAGGUGUACACACGGGUGAUCACACCCACAAACUACACCCUUUUUGGCUCCUACCUCAAAGCACACUGUGUUCUGUUGAUCUUAUGUGCUGCACAAUAAUGUUUAAUAUUUAGUAUUUACUGUCAUAUUCCCAUAUAUCAUUGUGAUGCUGCUUAUUCUAUUACACUUGUUCUCUUCUGCUUGUUUUCUUUUUUCUUUCUCAGCAGGUGAUCCAGGGGAUUGAUAUAUGCAUUUUUUAUUUCUUUUUUUUUUUCUGCUCAUUCUGUUGGUUUUUGUUUUUUGCCCUUCUCCCCCGUCCCUCUUCUCAGCUUUGUCCCUUUCCCUCUUUCUUUCUCCCCUUCUUUCCCCCAGUCAAGUCUGUCCCGUAUUCAGUAAGUGAAAAUAAAAUAAACAAUAAAAGGUGAAUCAAAUGGACCAUUACGGCAAGGCUGGGAUGGUCAAUUUGGUAAAGUAAAUCCGUUGGGCAUCUUUCUUUGCCUUUAGACAACAAUUCUGAUGGCAAAAGAGCCAAACGGGACAGGCCAAAAAAAAAAAAGAAAAAAGAAAAAAGAAAAAAAGAAAAUCUUAGCUCACACAGCUUUAAAACAUGUUUGCCCAGAACGGGGAUAUUGAAGUCUAUAAGAUAAAGCCAUAAACAUGUGUGUCUGAGUCUUCUAUCAAAAGUUACAGCUAUUUAUAUGAAGUUGUACAAAAACGCUUUCUUUCGCCAAGACAGUGCGUUUCUCACUGUUACAUGCAUUUGAAUGGGGAACUCGCCCGAAACAAAGUAUAGGUUUUCAUUAUGUGAAUAAUUUUAAAAUCUUAGCUCAAACAGCUGCAAAACCUGUUUGCCCAGCACGGGGAUAUUGAAGUCUAUAAGAUAAAGCGAUAAAUAUGUGAGUCUGACUCGUCUAUCAAAAGUUACAGCUAGCUUCAUGAAGUUGUACAAAAACGCUUUCUUUCGCCAAGACAGUGCGUUUCUCACUGUUACAUGCAUUUGAAUGGGGAACUCGCCCGAAACAAAGUAUAG